GAUGAACGCUGCCAGAAUGCUUAACACAUGCAAGUCGACUGUGGCGGACGGGUGAGUAACGCGUAAAGAACUUGCCUCACAGUUAGGGACAACAUUUGGAAACGAAUGCUAAUACCUGAUACUGUGUGAGAGCUUUGCGUCUCAUUAGCUAGUUGGAGAGGUAACGGCUCACAAAGGCGAUGAUGGGUAGCCGGCCUGAGCGGGUGAUCGGCCACAAGGGGACUGGGGAACGGCCCUUACUGAUACGGGGGGAAGCGGUGGGGAAUAUUUGACACUGGCCCAAAGUGUGAUCAAGCAAUUCUGGUUGUACGAUGAAGUUUUCGGAAUGUAAAGUGCUUUCAGUUGGGAAGCGGUACCAACAGAAGAAGUGACGGCUAAAUACGUGCCAGCAGCCGCGGUAAUAC
rnacentral:rRNA from 1 species